rnacentral:rRNA from 1 species
GACGAACGCUGGCGGCGUGCUUAACACAUGCAAGUCGAACGGAAAGGCCCUGCUUUUGUGGGGUGCUCGAGUGGCGAACGGGUGAGUAACACGUGAGAAACCUGCCCUUGACUUUGGGAUAACUUCAGGAAACUGGGGCUAAUACCGGAUAGGAGCUCCUGCUGCAUGGUGGGGGUUGGAAAGUUUCGGCGGUUGGGGAUGGACUCGCGGCUUAUCAGCUUGUUGGUGGGGUAGUGGCUUACCAAGGCUUUGACGGGUAGCCGGCCUGAGAGGGUGACCGGCCACAUUGGGACUGAGAUACGGCCCAGACUCCUACGGGAGGCAGCAGUGGGGAAUAUUGCACAAUGGGCGGAAGCCUGAUGCAGCAACGCCGCGUGCGGGAUGACGGCCUUCGGGUUGUAAACCGCUUUCGCCUGCGACGAAGCGUGAGUGACGGUAAUGGGUAAAGAAGCACCGGCUAACUACGUG